CCUACGGGAGGCAGCAGUGAGGAAUAUUGGUCAAUGGUCGGAAGGCUGAACCAGCCAAGCCGCGUGAAGGACGAAGGUGCCAAGCAUUGUAAACUUCUUUUGUCAAGGGACAAAAUCAGGCACGAGAGCCUGACUGAGUGUACUUGAAGAAAAAGCAUCGGCUAACUCCGUGCCAGCAGCCGCGGUAAUACGGAGGAUGCGAGCGUUAUCCGGAUUUAUUGGGUUAAAAGGGUGCGUAGGCGGACUGUUAAGUCAGCGGUAAAAGCCCGGGGCUCAACCCCGGCGAGCCGUUGAAACUGGCAGUCUUGAGAUGUCGAGAGGUAUGCGGAAUGCGCGGUGUAGCGGUGAAAUGCUUAGAUAUUGCGCAGAACUCCGAUUGCGAAGGCAGCAUACCGGCGGCGAUCUGACGCUGAGGCACGAAAGCGUGGGUAUCGAACAGGAUUAGAUACCCCUGUAGUC
rnacentral:rRNA from 1 species